CACGUAGGGUGCGAGCGUUUGUCCGGAAUUAUUGGGCGUAAAGAGCUCGUAGGCGGUGUGUCGCGUCGGCCGUGAAAACCUGCAGCUUAACUGUGGGCUUGCGGUCGAUACGGGCAUCACUGGAGUUCGGCAGGGGAGACUGGAAUUCCUGGUGUAGCGGUGAAAUGCGCAGAUAUCAGGAGGAACACCGGUGGCGAAGGCGGG
rnacentral:rRNA from 1 species